CCCUUAGAUGUUCUGGGCCGCACGCGUGCUACACUGACCGGUGCAACAAGUUUCUUUCCUUGGCUCGAUAGGCCUGGGUAAUCUUUGAACACCGGUCGUGAUGGGGAUAGAUCCUUGCAAUUUUUGGUCUUCAACGAGGAAUUCCUAGUAAACGCAAGUCAUCAACUUGCAUUGAUUACGUCCCUGCCCUUUGUACACACCGCCCGUCGCACCUACCGAUUGAAUGGUCCGGUGAAGCCUCCGGAUUGGCGCGCACCUCGGUGCCGCCGAGAAGUUGGCUAAACCUUACCAUUUAGAGGAAGGUGAAGUCGUAACA
rnacentral:rRNA from 1 species